CCCUGUGAUGAUCCCUUAGCUGAAAUUAGCUUCUUUGAUGAAGUGCUGGAGUCCUGUGGGGCUCGGCUGAAUAUUUCAGUGCUGGGAAUGUAGCUCUUCUUGAGGAGAUGGAGUCAUGAGGUGAAAACUGAAUUGCAAGGUACAGUACCAGAUCUCCUAAGAUUUCUUUGAUAGGUAGGAAAGGAAGAGUGUAGGGAAAGCAUUGAAUAGAUUAGUUGCUUCAGAUAGACAUUGAUUUUCUCAAAAUCUAUAGCAACAUUGUUGGCAGACCAAAUUAAUAUAGAGAUUGUGGCAAUGGGAAUCCUACUCUUGGUGCUUAUUAAAAAUAUAGUCAAUCUGAUCAUAAGUUUUCCUAUUUCUAGACCAGUGCUUCUAAAAGUAUGGACCCUGGAUCACCAGUAGUCCACAAGUCCAUCAGCGGGACAACAGAUUUUGAGAGAGCAAGGAGAAUGAGGUAUUGGGAGGCACCCCAUUGGAGGAUCUCUUAAUAAAAGUGGUCCACAGAUAGAAAAGUUUGGAGACUCUCUGCUCUAAUUCUUCAUGUGAUAGCAAUAUUAUUACUCUUCUCUACUGCAGUGGUUUUCAGUCAGGGGUAUGCAUAACCCUGGGGAUAUGCAGAGAUCUUCCAUGGGGGACAUCAGCUCAUCUAGAUAUUUGCUUAGUUUUACAACAGGCUACAUAAAAAGCACUAGCGAAGUCCGUACAAACUAAAAUUUCAUACAGACAAUGACUGGUUUAUACUGCUCGAUAUACUAUACCUGAAAUGUAAGUACAAUAUUUAUAGUCCAAUUGAUUUAUUUAUAAUUAUAUGGUAAAAAUGAGAAAGUAGGCAAUUUCCGUAAUAGUGUGCGGUGACACUUUUGAUCUGAUCUUUAGAGCUGAUUUUGUAAGCAAGUAGUUUUUAAGUGAGGUGAAACUUGGGGUACACAAGACAAAUCAGACUCCUGAAAGGGGAUCAGUAGUCUGAAAAGGUUGAGAACCACAGCUCUACAGCAUAGUUAUGAUCCUUCUCACUGAAGGCUUUCUGUGAUACUCUUAUUUAUUAAAUGCUGACCACAUGGGUCAGUGCUGUACACACGUAUUUUGAUGUUUAACUCCACUUACUUGGCCCAACUACAAUCUUUUAUGUAAAUGUCACUACUUUGAAGCUGCAAGUGGUGAAAACAUUUUCUUGAACUUAUGAUUAUUAACUCAUUUUGGGCACAACAUGGUGCCAGCAUGUCAAAGUUGCAAAAGCAUCAACUUAGGUGGUUUAGCGGUGGGCCCCAGAAGAUAAACGUGGGUUUAUUGUGCAUUCUCACAAAAUAAGCUAAAUGUCUGGAUACAGUAUAUGCUCCCUAGUGAAAUGGAAUUCAGCACCUCUGUGCAGGGUUUUUUUCCCCCUAGCCAUGGGCUCAGUGAAGAACAUGAAGCACUCGUAUGAAUAUAUUUGUAAUGAUUAGCUGAACACACGCAUGCAUCUUGCAGUUAAGACACAGAACUUAUAAAGCAGAAAAGUAGAAACUACACCACUAAAGUUAUUUCCCCUCCUUCUACAUCCCCUAUGAAGAAUGCAGGAGGUUAGAAUAACACAACUACAAUAAACAUUAGAGAUGAAAAAGCUUUUCCUUCCUCCCUUGCCCCACAUGAGGUACCGCAGGCUCAAAAAAAUAUAAAAUAUACCAGGCAAACAAUCUCAUCCCUCAGAUUGCUGCGGGCUAGAAAAAUAAUAUUACAUCAAGUAUGCAAACUGGCCCUGCUGACGGGGGUAUCCAGGGCUAGAAAAAUAGAAUUGCACCAUACAGUAGAAGCAAUCUCUCAAGCACACUGUAAAAUGCGGAUUAAAUAUAAGUUGGUGUCUCAUACUGGGAGGCAAAUAGGGAAAUUGGGAAGGGAAAGUCAG